AGUGAACGCUGGCGGUAGGCCUAACACAUGCAAGUCGAACGGCAGCACAGUAAGAGCUUGCUCUUACGGGUGGCGAGUGGCGGACGGGUGAGGAAUACAUCGGAAUCUACUUUUUCGUGGGGGAUAACGUAGGGAAACUUACGCUAAUACCGCAUACGACCUACGGGUGAAAGCAGGGGAUCUUCGGACCUUGCGCGAUUGAAUGAGCCGAUGUCGGAUUAGCUAGUUGGCGGGGUAAAGGCCCACCAAGGCGACGAUCCGUAGCUGGUCUGAGAGGAUGAUCGGCCACACUGGAACUGAGACACGGUCCAGACUCCUACGGGAGGCAGCAGUGGGGAAUAUUGGACAAUGGGCGCAAGCCUGAUCCAGCCAUACCGCGUGGGUGAAGAAGGCCUUCGGGUCGUAAAGCCCUUUUGUUGGGAAAGAAAAGCAGCAGGUUAAUACCCCGCUGUUCUGACGGUACCCAAAGAAUAAGCACCGGCUAACUUCGUG
rnacentral:rRNA from 1 species